GACGAACGCUGGCGGCGUGCCUAACACAUGCAAGUUGAGCGACGAACCAGGGCUUGCCCUGGGGCAAAGCAGCGAACGGGUGAGUAACACGUGGGUAACGUGCCCCGAUAACCGGGACAACCCGAGGAAACUCGGGCUAAUACCGGAUGUGCUCGCCGGACAUCAGUCCGGCGCGUAAAGGAAGCUUCGGCCUCCGUAUCGGGAGCGGCCCGCGGCCCAUUAGCUAGUUGGUGAGGUAACGGCUCACCAAGGCCGCGAUGGGUAGCUGGUCUGAGAGGACGAUCAGCCACACGUGGGACUG
rnacentral:rRNA from 1 species